rnacentral:rRNA from 1 species
GAUGAACGCUAGCGGGAGGCCUAACACAUGCAAGCCGAGCGGUAUUGUUUCUUCGGAAAUGAGAGAGCGGCGUACGGGUGCGGAACACGUGUGCAACCUGCCUUUAUCUGGGGGAUAGCCUUUCGAAAGGAAGAUUAAUACUCCAUAAUAUAUUGAACGGCAUCGUUUAAUAUUGAAAGCUCCGGCGGAUAGAGAUGGGCACGCGCAAGAUUAGCUAGUUGGUGAGGUAACGGCUCACCAAGGCAAUGAUCUUUAGGGGGCCUGAGAGGGUGAUCACCCACACUGGUACUGAGACACGGACCAGACUCCUACGGGAGGCAGCAGUGAGGAAUAUUGGUCAAUGGGUGCAAGCCUGAACCAGCCAUCCCGCGUGAAGGACGACUGCCCUAUGGGUUGUAAACUUCUUUUGUAUAGGGAUAAACCCUUCCACGUGUGGAAAGCUGAAGGUACUAUACGAAUAAGCACCGGCUAACUCCGUGCCAGCCGCCGCAGUAAGAC